CAAAGGCUUGGUCCUGACUUUCCUAUCAGCUUUAACCAAAUUUACACAUGCGAGUAUCCGCACCCCUGUGAGAAUGCCCCGCAGUCCCCCGUCCGGGGACAAGGAGCAGGUAUCAGGCACAUGACUACAUAGCCCACAACACCUUGCUUAGCCACACCCUCAAGGGAAUCCAGCAGUGAUAAACAUUAAGCUAUGAGUGAAAACUUGACUUAGUUAUGGUUAAAAGGGCCGGUAAAACUCGUGCCAGCUACCGCGGUUAUACGAGAGGCCCAAGUUGAUAGGCUCCGGCGUAAAGCGUGGUUAAGGAAUAAUAGAUAAUAAAGCCGAACGCUUACUAGGCUGUUAUACGCUUUACGAAAGUAAGAAGCACGUCCACGAAAGUAGCUUUACCCCGCCUGAACCCACGAAAGCCAAGAUACAAACUGGGAUUAGAUACCCCACUAUGCUUAGCCCUAAACAUUGAUAGUUUUACACAACCACUAUCCGCCUGGAGACUACGAGCAACAGCUUAAAACCCAAAGGACUUGGCGGUGCUUUAGACCCACCUAGAGGAGCCUGUUCUAUAACCGAUAACCCCCGUUUAACCUCACCUUUCCUAGUCAUUUCCGCCUAUAUACCGCCGUCGCCAGCUUACCCUGUGAAGGUCCCCUAGUGAGCAUAAUUGGUACAACCUAAAACGUCAGGUCGAGGUGUAGCGUAUGGAGAGGGAAGAAAUGGGCUACAUUCCCUAUUAUAGCGAAUCACGGAUAAUAGUACUGAAACGUGUAUCUAGAAGGAGGAUUUAGCAGUAAGCGGAAAGCAGAGCGUCCCGCUGAAACCGGCCCUGAAGCGCGCACACACCGCCCGUCACUCUCUCCAAGCAUCUUUUUUUAAUCUAACCUAAAAUCUUUUACCAGCAAAGGGGAGGCAAGUCGUAACAUGGUAAGUGUACCGGAAGGUGCACUUGGCAAAAC
rnacentral:ncRNA from 1 species